rnacentral:rRNA from 1 species
AACGAACGUUAGCGGCGCGCCUAACACAUGCAAGUCGAACGCGACUGGGGGCAACUCCAGUUGAGUGGCGCACGGGUGAGUAACACGUAGGUAAUCUCCCCUCGAGUGGUGGAUAACCUUCCGAAAGGAGGGCUAAUACAGCAUAAGACCACGGCCUCGAAAGAGGCUGAGAUCAAAGCGGAGGAUCGCAAGACUUCGCGCUUGAGGAUGAGCCUGCGGCCCAUCAGGUAGUUGGCGGAGUAACAGCCCACCAAGCCUAAGACGGGUAGCUGGUCUGAGAGGAUGAUCAGCCACACUGGAACUGAGACACGGUCCAGACUCCUACGGGAGGCAGCAGUGGGGAAUCUUGCGCAAUGGACGAAAGUCUGACGCAGCGACGCCGCGUGGGUGAUGAAGGCCUUCGGGUUGUAAAGCCCUGUGGGGAGGGACGAAUAAGUUGCAGCUAAUACCUGCAGCGAUGACGGUACCUCCUUAGCAAACACCGGCUAACUCUGUGCCAGCAGCCGCCGUAA